GUGCAGGUGAGUAAGGUACUGAGCUUGAAAGGGCUAAGUGAGGAUUUUAUUCUUAAAAAUUGAAUUGCCCAAGGUUAUUCAUCUAUUGUAGGUCAAUCGAAGAGGAAUGGCCAUAUCCCCGAACUCAUGUGGAAAUAAAAAUUUUUUUUUUCAUAAAGCUAUCGGCCUUCACAAUUAUGUUCCUCUACCCUAAACAUUUAAUUCCGGGGAAGGCAGUACGUGGAACGUGUCUGCGUGAAUAUAAGACGGUGGCCAACCACUACGUUUCACAGUCAUUUAAGAAUCUUCGAUUGCAACUGUACUGCUGUCCCAACACCAUCGUAGGACGCUCCGCUUGUCAGCCGGAAUCGUACUGGAAUCCUUGACCGAGCGAAUAACAAGUGUUGAGAUCGCCACGCCAUUUCUCCGGAGCAAGUGGACCGUGCAUGGCUCUAAGCAACAGCAUUGUAUAAUAGUUUAUUUAUUUUUUAUUUAUUUUUUUUAGUUUAAACUAUGGCAACACGUCCGCUUCGUCGUAUCCGAUUGGCUGGACAGGAAUGGAUGGCAAUAAAGCAUCCGACUCAUCUAUGCGCCUUACGAUGUCCAAGAGAAAUUCAUGGAGUGCGUCAUAGAAUGCCUUCAGAAAGGUGUAAAUGGUUUAUUGGAAUCUCCAACUGGGACAGGGAAAACUUUGUGCUUACUUUGUUCUUCCUUGGGCUGGUUAGCAACCCGAA